AAAAACUUGAAGCUUCCAUUUCUCAUUUCUCUGAUAAAAAGUUAAUCCCUUCUCGAACACUCAAAAUCAUCUUUUGAAGCUGAUGUCGUUGAAGCUCCACCAUCAGAAUCUUCCUUCAUCUAGUUCUUCUAUUUCACGUCCUUCAGUUAAAGCAGUGAGAAACUAUUAUUUCAGCAGAAAAGUAGUAGGUUUGGAUCACCUGAUAUACAAUCAAUGCAAUACAAGGAGGAGAUGCCACACAAAACUUUAUUUGUUACAGGGUGGAAAUCGUGAUCUUAAUCCUCGAACAUCGAGGAUAUUACACCUUUUGCCUUUUGCUUCUGCUGAGGAUGGGGUGUCGGUCAAUGGUAGUUCCAGACCAACUACAAGCAGUGAUAUGGAGGAAAUGAGACUAAAACUAGAUAUAUCUCUGCAAGGUGAAGAUAAUGGUUCUGGACUUGUCCAAUCGCUGCAUGAUGCUGCAAGAGUAAUUGAGCUAGGACUUAGACAACAAGGCUCAUUAUCCAGGGUAUCCUGGUUUUCAACUGCCUGGUUGGGCGGUGAUAGAACUAUUUGGAUCAAGGAGCUAUCUUAUCAGGCAUCUGUAUACUCUCUACUGCAAGCAGCAAUUGAGAUUUUAUCUCGAGGAGAUGAAAGAGAUAAUGAUAUCAACAUUUUCACGCAGAGGAGUUUAUCAAGGCAAUCUGCUCCUUUGGAGAGCUUGAUUAGAGAUAGUUUAUUAGCCAAGCAACCUGAAGCUUAUGAUUGGUUUUGGUCUGAGCAAAUUCCAGUAGUGGUUACCACCUUUGUGAAUUACUUUGAGAAGGAUCUGCGAUUUGCUGCUGCUACUGCAGAGACCAGAAAGCAAACAUCUCUAUCUCCUCGAAAUGCAAGUGAUGUAUCACUCCUUAUGCUUGCACUCAGUUGCAUUGCAGCGAUUAUGAAACUUGGUGCUGCAAAACUGUCGUGUACACAAUUUUCGUCUCUUGUUCCAGACACACUUGGAAGAUUGAUGGACAUGCUUGUCGAAUUUAUUCCUCUCCGACAGGCUUAUCAUUCCGUG
rnacentral:misc_RNA from 1 species